ACAAUGAUGCAGUUCGCCAGUCUCGCGAUAUGUGAGUGCCGGUUUCUCGCCCCUGUAUUAUAGCUGCGAAAACCCCAAUCAUUCUUCCUUUCUCAACAUGGCACCGAAGGCGAAGAAGGAAGCUGUCCCUGCCAAGACCGAGGCCAAGGUGAAGGCCCUGAAGGCCAAGAAGGCUGUUCUGAAAGGAGUCCACAGCCAGAGGAAGAAGAAGAUUAGAACCUCCCCAACCUUCCGCCGCCCCAAAACCCUGCGCCUCCGCAGACAACCCAAGUACCCCCGCAAGAGUGCCCCGCGCAGAAACAAGUUGGACCACUAUGCCAUCAUUAAGUUCCCUCUGACGACAGAGUCUGCCAUGAAGAAGAUCGAGGACAACAACACCCUCGUCUUCAUCGUAGACGUCAAGGCCAACAAGCAUCAGAUCAAACAUGCAGUCAAGAAGCUCUACGACAUCGACGUGGCCAAGGUCAACACACUCAUCCGGCCUGAUGGUGAGAAGAAGGCGUAUGUCCGUCUGGCUCCAGAUUACGAUGCGUUGGAUGUUGCCAAUAAGGUGAGACUGACAGUAACGUCUCGAUAGUCUCCUGCGGUAUCACCAAAAUGUUACCCCAACUCCAUUUACAGUCUCCCCCAGCAGCCCCCCUCCAGUCUCCCCCAGCAGCCCCCCUCCAGUCUCCCCCAGCAGCCCCCCUCCAGUCUCCCCCAGCAGCCCCCCUCCAGUCUCCCCCAGCAGCCCCCCUCCAGUCUCCCCCAGCAGCCUCCCUCCAGUCCCACCCCCAAGGCGUAUGUCCGUCUGGCUCCAGAUUACGAUGCAUUGGAUGUUGCCAAUAAGAUUGGCAUCAUAUAAACAGCUGCUGGGGAGAUGUACAGAGGAAUAAAAGUUUGUAAAAACGUACUGCUCUCUUGUCCCGUAUGUUAUUGGUUGAUUAUCAUCUGUUCUGUUUGGUGGGAUGUUCUGAUGUGAGUUCUCUAUAAUAUUAAAUACAUCUGUUAUAAAGCUACACACAUCCCAUGACUUGCAGGUGAUUGGUGCAAGAAAUUAACUAACAAUUAAUGGAUGGAUACCUGCACAAUUAAUAUUUCCGUUUUUUGGUGUUGAAAUGUUGCACAAUAAAACAUGUGCAUCCUUCA